rnacentral:lncRNA from 1 species
UAUUAUUGUCUGUAUAGGUUAUUUUUAUAAAUCCCAUUACGGUAAGUGGACGGUAAAUAGCUUUAUGACUGAUAAAUGAAUUUGCUAAAUUUAGGGCUCCAUUAGUAGUUUUUAAUUUUCUACCAACCUUUACUUCUGUGUCGGUGAUAUAAUGUGAUAUCCUUACUGAGCUAGUGUAACUCAUCCCUUAUUUAACCAUUUCAAAUCAAGAGGACCAAGUUUCAAAACCCGAUCCGCAAGAGGAUUGUGAGUAGAUGCUAGUUUUCUUUAUUUUUCGUUCAUUUCCUUAUUUCUUGUAUUUCUUUCAAAAAUGUGAAUUCUAUAACACUGUUUG